GCACCUAUAAAUUCGUAGUUAGCUCAGUCCCUCAUGCCUCUUCUCUUCCAUCUCUGCCUACUUUUCCAUCUGGAACUCAAAAGCUGCCUGCAAUUGUUCUCCAUUACUUAGAUUACCGUGUUGUAUGAACGCUUCUUGGUAAUUAAAUUUCAUUUGAAUUAUAUAUAUUUGUUUUGGGUUCUGGUUUCUGUGUUGUGGGUUGUGUUUGUUUUUAGAAAUUGACACCAGGGCUCCAUAUUCGAGUCAACAGCAGGCGCCCAUAUUGGUGGCGACCCGACUGCCGCUUGGAGCCAAUAGUAAAGUUACAGUAGUGGGUGAAGAUCCUUGAAACUCAAACCCAGUUUGUUUCAUGACACAAUAUCCACUAUAAAUUUUUUCAUCUCUCUGCUGUUUUAUUUAUUAUUUUAUUUUAUUUAGGCUGGGAUUUAUUUUUCUUAAAAAAAUUUGUUGUGAUUGCAUUAUUUUUUUACUGGUAAGGUAAAAGUGAAGUUGGAAGAAGUGAAUUUUGGCACUCCAGUCAGACACGGGUGUUUGUUACUGAUGCUAUAACAAUCAACCUUUUGCAUGGUGCCUAUAAAGAGCUACUCAUCACGAUUGGAGGAAAGCCAUUCAUUUUCCACGCUUUCCUUCAAAUUCAAAGCAGCUAAAUCUUCUAAACCUUGCAGAUUGCAAAAGGCUUAUAUGUGCUGAAGGGAUAUCGGCCUCUUGCUUGACAAGCAUUCUUUUACUUGCAAACCAAAACAACCAUGAGUUUAUGGAAUGCCUUGUGUACUUGCAAACAAAAUGGACGAAAUAAAAAGAUUUUGAGUUUCAGUCAA